UAUUUAUUAGUUUAAUAUAAAACAUUAUAUUUUCAAUAUAAAAAUAAUCUUAUUAUAAAUAU
rnacentral:tRNA from 1 species